UGAAAACGCUUAAACCAAAUUUGUGCUA
rnacentral:piRNA from 1 species